CAGCCGUAAACAAUGUGCGUUAGGUGUGUCAGUAACCACGCGUUACUGAUGCGCCGAAGAGAAAUCGUGAAACGCACCACCUGGGAAGUACGGUCGCAAGGCUGAAACUUAAAGGAAUUGGCGGGGGAGCACCACAACAGGUGGAGCCUGCGGUUUAAUUGGAUUCAACGCCGGACAUCUCACCGGAUAAGACAGCUGAAUGAUUGUCAAUCUGAAGGUUUUACAUGACUAGCUGAGAGGAGGUGCAUGGCGUCAGUGACU
rnacentral:rRNA from 1 species